rnacentral:rRNA from 1 species
UACAGAGGUCCCAAGCGUUGUUCGGAUUCACUGGGCGUAAAGGGUGCGUAGACGGCAUGUUAAGUUCGUUGUUAAAGGCUCCGGCCUAACCGGAGUACCGCGAUGAAAACUGGCGUACUAGAGGGUGAGAGAGAGAAGUGGAAUUCCUGGAGUAGCGGUAAAAUGCGUGGAUCUCAGGAGGAACACCAAUGGCGAAGGCAGCUUCUUGGCUCAUUCCUGACGUUGAGGCACGAAAGCGUGGGGAGCAAACAGG